CAGUCUGUGGACCCCUACACACUUCUAAUUGGUUACAUUAGGCAACACAACUGGACACUUUUGACUACAUUUGUGUGUGGGUGCCUUUAGAAAUGUCGUAACACAGGACGGGCGAUACUUCAGUCAGUUAGGAGCAUAAAGUUGUGAGAAUAUUUUCUCAGGUCUUAUGAAACCAAGACAAACAAAACAAUCGAUCAGUUUAAAGAAUGGCUCAGACCUUCAGCAGGGACUCCCACACACUGAAUCUCUCUCCAUGGAUGAGGAUUAAAUACAAACACAUGGACAGGUUUUAGUCGUAGCCAGUAUUUGUUUUAGAAACUUUCAGUGUUUGCUUCAUCUGUGAUUAACAGGACUGUUGGCUCAGUAACCAAACGCAGUCCAGCCUGAAGUGAUGGCUGGAAAUGUCCUAAUUCAGGAAGAUAAUGGAUAAAGGACUCUGGUGCUUUUGCUUCUGGUCGCUGUGGUCAGCAGUAAGGCUUUGAGCGAUGUGAAUGGGCCCGAACGAUGAGGUGUUACGGUCUGGAUGGCUACUACAACCACACCUUGGCUGACUUGCAGGUGAGUAUUACAAAAAGCUUGCAAUGGUGGCAGCUUGUAUUUCUAUGGGUGUCCAAGCUAAUUCUAUUACUUACACUGGGGUAGAAAAGAAACUUACAUUUAUUUCCUCUCUUCUUUUUUCUUUUUUUUUACAAAAUGGGACAUUUUGUAAAAACUUAAAGCUACAUUCAUUACACACAAGUGUGGAUUGGUUGUGAAAGAUGUCUUGUUUUAUAUUUUUUAAAGCUCAGAAACACUCCCAAGCAAAAGAUGUCCAUGGACAUUUUCCAGGUAGCCUUUUAAAAGAAGACUUUUUUCAUCUUAUUUGAACCACUGAGGAACUUUCUUUGAGUUAGAGGUCUAGGAGGCUUUUACAUCAUACAUAUUAAGACUAAAGGCCUCAUAGGUGGUUCCAACUCGGCUAACAAGAGUUCAAACUGCCCCGCUGGCAUCCUGAAUUAUGCACGAGAACACGUCUUUGCUUUUUUAAUACAACAUUUUAUUGAUCACGAUCAAAUACAAUGACAAAUAGCCACACAACAUUCGCUCCUGGUUGACAGGCUAGUAGUGUGAAUAAAAACAUAUUCAUACUGGUUAUAUCUAAAGGUAAAUUAUGUUUCUAUAUCAUUUUGUGUUGCAUGCUGAGUAUGUAAGACUGCUUUCUUCCAUUUGCGCAACAUCUCUAAAAUUAGAAAUAUCCUGUCUCAGAGUGAUGCUGAAAAACUAGUUCAUGCAUUUAUUACUUCCAGGCUGGACUACUGUAA